rnacentral:rRNA from 1 species
UAACACAUGCAAGUCGAGCGGAAACGAUGGUAGCUUGCUACCAGGCGUCGAGCGGCGGACGGGUGAGUAAUACUUAGGAAUCUACCUAGUAGUGGGGGAUAGCACGGGGAAACUCGUAUUAAUACCGCAUACGUCCUACGGGAGAAAGGGGGCAACUUGUUGCUCUCGCUAUUAGAUGAGCCUAAGUCGGAUUAGCUAGAUGGUGGGGUAAAGGCCUACCAUGGCGACGAUCUGUAGCUGGUCUGAGAGGAUGAUCAGCCACACCGGGACUGAGACACGGCCCGGACUCCUACGGGAGGCAGCAGUGGGGAAUAUUGGACAAUGGGGGAAACCCUGAUCCAGCCAUGCCGCGUGUGUGAAGAAGGCCUUUUGGUUGUAAAGCACUUUAAGCAGUGAAGAAGACUCUUCGGUUAAUACCCGGAGACGAUGACAUUAGCUGCAGAAUAAGCACCGGCUAACUCUGUGCCAGCAGCCGCGGUAAUACAGAGGGUGCAAGCGUUAAUCGGAAUUACUGGGCGUAAAGCGAGCGUAGGUGGCUUGAUAAGUCAGAUGUGAAAUCCCCGGGCUUAACCUGGGAACUGCAUCUGAAACUGUUAGGCUAGAGUAGGUGAGAGGGAAGUAGAAUUUCAGGUGUAGCGGUGAAAUGCGUAGAGAUCUGAAGGAAUACCGAUGGCGAAGGCAGCUUCCUGGCAUCAUACUGACACUGAGGCUCGAAAGCGUGGGUAGCAAACAGGAUUAGAUACCCUGGUAGUCCACGCCGUAAA